CUAAAAAUUUUACUGAUGUAUUUAAUUGAGCUUAACUGAAAUUAAAGUUAUUGUAAGAAUUAUGUUCUAAUGAUUCAUGAAAUUUCCAAACAGGAUUUCUCUAUAUUUCCACAGGCACAUGCAUCACAUGAAGAAAAAACAAGAACAGCCGCCCUAAAUUCAUAAAUGAGAGAUUAAAUUGAUAAUCCAAAAUUACAUCUGAUACAAACAUAGGCACAGUCGAAAGAUUAAACACCCAAACCAGAUUGUCCACAUGGAGAGGGUGUUCCUACUUUCUCAGAUUUCUCAUGUAAAUCGAUGGGACCCAGGAACCAGGAUUCUUAAAAAUAUUUUCCUCUGGUUUCAAUGAAAGAAAGAAACUCAAAGGUUUAAAACCACACAAGGUGAAUUAAUCUUUUAGUUUAGGAUAUCCUGGGGACAUUUAAAUUCCUAACAGCAGGGAGAAGAACAACAGAUAAAAGAUAAAGCAAU